GCCCGACUAACUCAUCGGUGAGCGCCUCUAAUUAGCAAUUCUGAAAUCAAAUUCAAACAAGGAGGCAACAGGUUCGAUUCCUGUGUUGGGCA